GUCCGUUGCCACCUCCCCCUUCUGCGUAGUGGAAACUACUGCCCCGGGGCGGGGGCUGAAAAGUGACGGUUGGAUGGGAGAAGGGGACAGAGAUGCGUGGGUAAAUACCAAGGAGUGGAAUUGUGGAGUCAUAUGAACAAAGUCAGAGGAACCAACUGCUGGCUGUUGUUCAUUGGCUAAUUUUUGUCAAAACUAUCCUCUCUGGAACUAUUCUGGGUGUCCUCUGAAGAGUGGAGAAUGUACCCUACAAUUAGGUAACCUAUUUUCUAACAGGCAAGAGGAUAGUGACGGAAGGGUAGGGGAAUUUGGAGGAAAAGCCACCUCUUUCAUUUUUGCAAGAAAGGAAAAGCUUUCCUGAGAAACCCUGGUGGAUUUCUGAUUAUAUCUGAUCACCAGAACUUAGAAGACAACUAUGGAUUCCAGGAAAGUGAGUAUUUAGAUUUUCUAGCUUCUUUGACAGAAGGCAAGGAAGAGAGAUUGACAAACCAAUAAUGACUGCUGGAGAGUUUAUAUACUUUUCUAAAAGUCACUUUUGUAUGUGGAACAAUGAAAAUAAUCCUUAUCAUUCAAUGAAUGUCUGCUAUAAGGAAUUCUCUUGUCUUCUUACUUUUCUGAAUCCCCACAAUUCUUGCUCAGGCCACUACUCUUUUUGGUAUAUUUUUCAUGCAUUGUUCCAUUUUAAAGUAAAGCAGUCAGUAUACUUAGUGUAUCUGUCCCUUCAUCUCUCACCCUCUGUCUUCAGUUCUUGUCACAUUAUCUCUUUCUCUGCUGUUGGCGAUGUGACUCCAUUUAGCCUGGAAGAUGGGGUGCGUGCUGCCACUGGCUUAGAGCUUUUUAAUACCAUGACUCUGCAGGUACUGGGAACUCAAGAUGUGGCACAACGUAUUACAUUGUCUUUUCUACUUCUUUCAUACGCUCCCUCUACCACGUGACCUUACAAUUCACUACAUUGGGCAGAAUAUAUUUUCCCACUCUAAUGGAACGCUAACAAACAUGACAGUGAGCCGAGACCUUAAAUGUGCUUGUGUGGUUUAGCUGGGCUUCCUGUGCCUCUGCCACAUGGCCAAGAAUUUCACCCAGAUGGUUGCUAGUCCAAGCAGUAGGAGAGAUGUGGAGCAGAACUGGGCUUAAUCUGCAGCCUAAAGCUAGGUAGGCCCCGCUGACCUAGAGACGCUGGAUAGAGGUUGGUUGCUAUAAGCACUGAAUUGUGGUUUGUUUUGUUAUGCAGUACAUUGCAGUGAUAGCUGUUAAUGCAGUGGGACUCUAAAUGGCCAAGUUCAAUCCAUGUGUUCAUUCCUGAAUUUGUUACAAUGGCUGGUACCUUAACUGGCCAGGCUUGGAUUACCUUUCACUUCUUCUUUCUCCUCCACCUCACCAAAAAACUGAGGUUGUCUCAGGAAUGGGGUUACAGGUAAUAAAAUUUGAUCCUGUGAUAUGGGAGAAGAGUUACUCCAAAAGAAAGUGGUUGCUGUAAUCAGAGGAGGAGAGUAGGUUUGAAAAUGUAAUAAACAGGCAAAAACUGUCAUAAUCUACCCUGGUGCUCUUUAUACUCCGUAGUCACUGCUAAAUUUUAAGCUGAUUGUGUGCAGGAAUUCUGCCUUACUCAUUUUGUGUUUAUUCCAACACUUGAGGUAUCUCACAAAUGUCUUAAAUCAGUUAAGAUUAGGUUUCACCACAAGUACCGUGAGACUGGCAAACAACAGUGACUUUAAACGGUGGGAAUUUUUUCUUUUGCCUUAAAGUCUAGAGGUGGGCAGUCCAGGGUGGGUGUGGUGGCUGAUUCGCCAAGUCCUUAGGCAUCCGGCAACUUCCAGCUUUCUUCUCAGUCAUCCUGUGAGGUGAGGCUCCUCUUGGUGCUCAGACAUAGGUUCCUUCAUGGGCACCGUGUUCCAAACAGCAGGGUGGAGGAAGGGGAGAGGGCAGAGCAAGAAUGCCUGCCAGCUGCUAUUUAGGAGCAUCUCUCAGGAGCGGCCACAUAACAUUUCUGCUCAGCUCUCACUCUUGUGGUGGGAAGAGCCUUGCUGAAAGGGAAGCUCAGGGAACAGGUCUUUCAUCCAGCCUCCGUGUGCCCACCUAAAAGCCAGGGCUUUUGAAAGAGGGGGUGGGGAUUUUGGAGUAGACAACAAGCCGUCUCUGCGGCAGUGCUCAAUAAAUAUUUGUUGUAUCAGAGUGUGAGUAGCUGAAUCAUAUAUUAAAAAUUAAGGGUGGUUAAUAAACCCUGAAGAGUAAACUUUCAUCCUUAGAUGCAUGGCAGGCUUAAAGAAGAUACUUAAGGUCUCAAUGCCUAUUUAAGCAGUUUCUCAUUUUUAGAAAGCAAGAAAGCAAAAGUGGAUGAUUUGUUUUAGAAUUCUUUUUGCUCUGAGUUGAAAUUGAACAGUGUUGGCAGGCUCUUUUCAGUUUUCUUGAUCCAUUUUCUGAAAGUCUAACCCUCACAGUAUUCCGGACAGACUCUAGUGCUGCCAUAUUGGAAUCCUUAACUGUAAAAAAAAUGUCUCUCUUAAAAUUAUGUCUCCUCUUACUCUUAGACAAGCAUCCCUUUCAAAGCUUGGGAUACAGAUAUUUGCAUUAAAGGGAUUUACCACCUAUAGUUUCAGUAAUGCUAACAUUAUGGGUUAGCUGUCUGCUGAUCCAUUGUCCUGUUGUGCAGGCAGAACAAACCAAACCUAUUUUCCAGUCUGUGGAUAAAUUCACUGUUGGCAUUGCUGGGAGGACAUCGGCAGUUAACUACCAAGCUAUUGAUUCUUUUUUCACUGUGGGCCAAAUCCAGUCUUUAGUAACGUACGCAGUGCCCACUGUUAAAUUCAAGGUGAUAAAAGGAAAGUUGGGGAUUGAUGUCUGAAGUUCGAGAAGAGUCUGUUUCAUUAAAUUUUGUUAGAUGUUUAUUUUUAUAUUUCAUUGUAUAAAUAACAGAUGUCUGGGUGUGGAGUACUCCAGCUAGAAAUUGAAAUCCAGACAUAUUUCUGAGUUAACUGUUGGUGUGUCUGUUGAGUUAGAUAUACUUUAAAAUUUCAGAAUUUUACAUUUCUGAUUUUCAUAAUUUCCCUUAUGAAAUAAUCCUUUAGCAUUAAGGGUAGGUGAGAAAGAAUACAACUUUUUGUGUCUGUUUUUCUGGUAAAU